CACAGUAACCAAGCUGUUUAAAAACAUUGACCCACUUGCACAGAUGGAGAAUUCAGAAUGUUGCCUUUCAGGACAGAGAAGUGCACCUUUUCAAGGCACCAGAGGAGAGCGCCGUGGAGAAGGCCAGGAACACAGGAGGCACGGGAAGCGGUUGUUCCUGCACUCUGUCACCUGAACACGGAAGAGAAGCAGAUUUACCAGGAGAACCUGCACCAUGUCCUUCAGUCCUUCCGCAAACCCGCCGCACG